rnacentral:tmRNA from 1 species
GGGGAUGAAAGGCUUCGACGGAGGAGGUGAGGUCCCGGAUUGCGAGCCGAGAGGCGCCGAACUCGUAAAAUCAGCGCAAAAAAUAAGUGCCAACCGCACGAACGUUGCUGCCAUGCCCGUUGCUGCGUAAGCAGCAGCGGCUGGCGUAACCGCCUCGGAAUGAGGCGGCGUCCGCCCACCCCGCUCCCCGGCCGGAGGUGGUGUCGGGCGUGAGAAAGCCGGGGUGCCGCACGGGAUGCCGCUUACCGUGCGAAAGAGGCGCUUUCGGGCGCCAGCGGCUGGCUCAGCGUGUCCCCUUGGUCGGUCGUGGGGCCGCUGAGCGAGAAUAAACGGCCGACUACGCUCGUAGAAGAUCCGAGGGCUGACUCCUCCGGACGCGGGUUCGAUUCCCGCCAUCUCCACCA